rnacentral:ncRNA from 1 species
AGAUGAAUUCUUCGAGUCCGACGUUAAGCCAACAACUAACUCGGGCCUCCCCGAGAGGCCCAAGUCCGUGGUUGGCCUUGCUUCCUCUUUGCUCUCCUCUUAUUUCUUCAUUGGAGGGUUCGGAUGGACUUCGCCACCAUAAAGAUAUUCUCUCGCUUUCUAGCUGUACCCUUCUUCACACCCACCACGGAGGUUAGAGAUUUCCCGUUAUCAACAUUGUAAAUCUUUCGUCUUCGUUUUCAGCUCCGCUCGCUCGAGAAUUGCCACAACCGCAAAUCCCGCUUUUUAUGGGUCCAAAGAUUCCUCGUGUUUAGUUGCCACUAUGAGUUUGGAACCCUGAACAGACCGCCGGUGUUAAGCCGGAGGAAGGAGAGGAUGAGGCCAAGUCAUCAUGCCCCUUAUGCCCUGGGCGACACACGUGCUACAAUGGGCGGGACAAAGGGUC